rnacentral:rRNA from 1 species
UACGGAGGGUGCAAGCGUUAUCCGGAUUCACUGGGUUUAAAGGGUGCGUAGGCGGAUUGGUAAGUCCGUAGUGAAAUCCCCGAGCUUAACUUGGGAACUGCCGUGGAUACUAUCAGUCUUGAAUAUCGUGGAGGUAAGCGGAAUAUGUCAUGUAGCGGUGAAAUGCUUAGAUAUGACAUAGAACACCAAUUGCGUAGGCAGCUUACUACUCGAUCAUUGACGCUGAGGCACGAAAGCGUGGGGAGCAAACAGG